rnacentral:rRNA from 1 species
GACGGAGGAUGCAAGUGUUAUCCGGAAUCACUGGGCGUAAAGCGUCUGUAGGUGGUCAAAUAAGUCAACUGUUAAAUCUUGAGGCUCAACCUCAAAAUCGCAGUCGAAACUAUUAGACUAGAGUAUAGUAGGGGUAAAGGGAAUUUCCAGUGGAGCGGUGAAAUGCGUAGAGAUUGGAAAGAACACCGAUGGCGAAGGCACUUUACUGGGCUAUUACUAACACUCAGAGACGAAAGCUAGGUAGCAAAUGGG